CCGGCGCGACGCCCGGCGGCCGCCGCUGACUCACCCGCCCCUCCCGCUGCGCCUGCGCGGAGUGGCCCAGCCGCCUCGGCUCGGCGCCCCCGGCGGGCGAGGCCUUCCCAGGCCCGGGGGAGUGACCGGGAGGCCCCGCGCCGGCCUGGCGCUUAAAACCGGCUCGGCCCUAAGUGACCCCCCCCGCCGCCUCGCCUGCAGCGAGGCUGCAUCCACCCAAGUACGCGUUGGGAGCGCCUCCUGCGCAGGAACGGCUAAUUUCCUGCUCGUAAUAAAGAGGCAACAUAUACGUGCGUGUGCAGCAUAGAGAGAGGGUGCCCUGAGGGUGAUGCUGCUGUCAGAGGGUUAUGAUGUCUGGUACCCAUCCCAGCCCUGCCGUGACACCGCCUUCUGCUCUUCUCACCUACAGCCUGGCGCGGGACCAUGCAUGCAAUUAGUCCCACUGGCAUCAGUUUACACGCUUUUUUUUAAUUAAAAAAAAAAAAAAAAAAAAAAAAACAUUUUGGCAAUGUUUUUCCAGUAUAGCGUUGAUAUUAGUUUACGUGACUCUGACAAACUGUCUCUGGCUUCCUUGCCUUCAUUUGCACGCUGUGAGGAACGUGGGAGCUCACCAGAAGUUAGGUUGGCAGGGAAUUUGGAUAAUUAAUGUACCUGAAAAUCCACAAAGCAUUUGAUCACUGAGGAGAAUUAUUAUGGUGCCUGUCUUUAACAUACCCAAUUAGAUUUUGAACAAGGUUUGCUGGCACAUAACUUCUUUACCAGCCAGCUAGUCAUUAGCAUUGCCAAUAUAAGUUUUCGUAGAAGCCCAAUGGAGGCAGAUUGAAAUAAAAUACUUGCAUAAAAUAAUUAACGCCCAUCUUCCCAAUAGUCCAAUCACAGCCAUACCAGGUGAAUCAGGAGUAUUGCAACAGAUGCUGUAUCAUUAGUAACAGAUGUAGAGCAAUGGAGUUAAAUACUAAAUUCACUGCAAGUUAUAAAGUACCAAAGAUGGAGUCGAUUCACCAAUUUUAGUUGGAGUCUAGCAUGCAACUGAUGUAUGUUUUGCUGGCUGCUUGUAAUUUUGGCAAGAGCCUAACAGUAAAAAAAAAGGAGAAACAUGAGGUUAACAGAGUACCCUUUCUUUUCCGUGCAUAAAGAUAUUUGAAAGAAUAUAAGCAGAAAUUCUUGAAACAUUUGUAAUUCCUGAAGACUCUCUGCUAUACUCUAGAAAAGGUGCUGUUACGUUACUCCUACAAGUAUUUUUCUUUAGGUUUAUCAUUUCCUAUCCAAACCCAAAUGGAAUUACUAAACUAUUUCAUAUACUUUUAUCCAGCUAAAUAAUUGAAUUUGCCUUGUCUAGUUUUGUUGUUGUAAAUAUGAAACAGGAAGGAAAAUAAUAAAGCUGAAA